CAAUAGCGUAUAUUAAAGUUGUUGCAGUUAAAAAGCUCGUAGUUGGAUUUCUGGUCGGAAGCUCCUGUCCUCUGAUGAGCGUACAAGUGCGUCCUACCAUCCUUCUGUUAACCUUUAAGGCUUUCGCGGCUUUCUAGGGGCUCAGAUAUUUUACCUUGAGAAAAUUAGAGUGUUUCAGGCAGGCUAGCGCCGGAAUACAUUAGCAUGGAAUAAUGGAAUAGGACUUUUGCCUCUUCUGUUGGUCAUGAGGCUCGAGUAAUGAUUAAUAGGGAUAGUUGGGGGCAUUAGUACUUAACUGUCAGAGGUGAAAUUCUCGGAUUUGCUAAAGACUAACUUAUGCGAAAGCAUUUGCCAAGGAUGUUCUCAUUAA
rnacentral:rRNA from 1 species